GACGAACGCUGGCGGCGUGCUUAACACAUGCGAGUCGAACGAUGAAGAAAAGAAUUGCAGCUUCGGCAGAAAUUCAUUUCGGAUUAGUGGCAGACGGGUGAGUAACGCGUGAGCAACCUACCUCUUACAAAGGGAUAGCCUCGGGAAACCGGGAUUAAUACCAUAUAACAUUGCGACGAAGCAUUUCGAUGCAAUCAAAGCUACGGCGGUAAGAGAUGGGCUCGCGUCCCAUUAACCAGAUGGUGAGGUAACGGCUCACCAUAGUAACGAUGGGUAACCGGCCUGAGAGGGUGAACGGUCACACUGGAACUGAGACACGGUCCAGACUCCUACGGGAGGCAGCAGUGGGGAAUAUUGCACAAUGGAGGGAACUCUGAUGCAGCGACGCCGCGUGAGUGAUGAAGGAAUUCGUUUCGUAAAACUCUGUUCUAUGGGAAGAAAAGGACUGUACCAUAGGAGAAAGCUCCGGCUAAAUACGUG
rnacentral:rRNA from 1 species